AGGUAUUUUGCGCUUUUUCAUUUCUGUAUAUAUAUAUAGUGUUUCUGUGAGAUAUUACAGAGGGUUAGAGGACAACAUAAACAUUACCUCACAUGAUGAGUUUCUUUAUCAAUCCGGCCUUCUGUCUUUUCUCUGUAGGUCCUGGUGUCGGUGUAAAGUCUGGAGGUAAGUCUGUCUGCCUGAACCUGACGGAUGCUGCUGAAUCCAAUGAACACUUUGCUUAUGAGAGUGCAAAGGUUAUCUUAUCCUUCUGUGAUUUCUGUACUGUCAGGUCCAGUGGCUGGUAUCCUCGGAGCCCGUGGAUAUGGGGCAGGCAAGCCAGGAAAAACAGCUGGCCGUUAUCUUGGAGGGAUGGCAUACAGACCCACUGCGAUCAGAGGAGGCCUGAAACAAGGAUAUGGAACACUCGGAGGUUAUGGAGGAGCUGCAAACCUUGGGACUGGCCUGGGGACUGGCCUGGGGACUGGCCUGGGGUCUGCUGGGCUGGGACUCGGCACAGGGUAUGGCCUAGGCAAUGGGCUGGGAGCAGCUUUAGGUUAUCCAGCAGGGAACCUCGGAGGAAGAGGUUACACCAGUAACGGCUAUGGAGCACAGCUAGGUUAUGGGGCAGGAGGAUACCCUGCCGCUGGACGCGGAUAUGGUGUACCAGCUGGCACACCCACAGGGCAAGGCUCAAAACCAUCAAAACUGGGUGUUGGGCCUAGAGCUGGCCAGCCCGUGUCACAGAGAGAGAGGGGCGAUGGAUACGGCCUUGGUGCUGCUGGUUAUCUUGGAGAUGGUUUAACUGACGGUUAUGGAGCAGGUCUAGGGGCAGGUGGAUACCCACAGGGAGUUCGUGCAGGAAAGCAGAUUGGCUACAGCAACGGAUACGGCAGUGAGGUUUAUGGCACAGCAGACGGUUAUGGAGCAGGUCUUGGCGCUGGAGGCCUUGGAGGUCCAGGACUGGUAGUGAACCCCGGCCUUGGUGCUGAUGCCAAGUCUAGAAAAUAUGGGGCUGGCGGAGUUCUUGGAGCUGGAUCCUUGCCUUACGGUGGCCAGCCUGUGGUCUCAGCUGGACUUGACCCUCAAAGCAAAGCUGGUAGUUAUGGUGGAGCUACAUACAGAGGAAUACCAACGCUUGGGGCAGACACUUCUUUGGGUGGUACAGGUGGAGCAAUGGAGCCAUUAGCAGGCGGAGCUGUAGGCCAGAUUCCUUACAACGCACCAGUCAUUGCAGCUGGGCUUGAAGCUGAUGCUGGUUAUCCUUUUGGUGCUGAGCAAGUCAGCCUGGGUGCUGAUGCUACAAAGACAGCCGCCAAAUAUGGCACUGGAUAUGCAGCUGCACUGAGUACUGGGGGUCAAGGGCCCUAUGCUGGACAGAAGGAUGGAAGCAAGCUUAGUGGCAUUUAUGGGAAUGGCUACAAAGGCUGA
rnacentral:lncRNA from 1 species